rnacentral:rRNA from 1 species
GACGAACGCUGGCGGCGUGCUUAACACAUGCAAGUCGAACGGUGAAGCGCCUUCCUUUUUGGUGGGUGUGGAUGAGUGGCGAACGGGUGAGUAACACGUGAGUAACCUGCCCCCUUCUUCUGGAUAACCGCAUGAAAGUGUGGCUAAUACGGGAUAUUCUGGGUCUGUCGCAUGAUGGGUCUGGGAAAGAUAUUGUUUCGGUGGGGGAUGGGCUCGCGGCCUAUCAGCUUGUUGGUGGGGUGAUGGCCUACCAAGGCGGUGACGGGUAGCCGGCCUGAGAGGGUGGACGGUCACACUGGGACUGAGACACGGCCCAGACUCCUACGGGAGGCAGCAGUGGGGAAUAUUGCACAAUGGGCGCAAGCCUGAUGCAGCGACGCCGCGUGAGGGAUGGAGGCCUUCGGGUUGUGAACCUCUUUCGCCAGUGAAGCAGGCCUGCCUCGUUUGUGGGUGGGUUGACGGUAGCUGGAUAAGAAGCGCCGGCUAACUACGUA